UAUUUGCAGCCUUGUGACGCUGCCCCUGGUGAAACCCAUCACUCGUGGGUGCAACAAGGCUGCAGAAAGUAAUUCAAAGAAUGAAAAGGCGUGACUUCUGAAGGCUCAGGAGUUUCACGUGCGAUGUUCCUUGGACAGAAGGGUCCUGCUUUCCACGGUGGUGACGGUCUAGCUCUGUGGCCGUCACCUUUCUUGAGGCAGGUAGAAUAAAAUCCUGGCAGCCGGAUAUUGUCUGAAACAGGGGAAGCUUUUCCUGUCAGGCACUGUUAGCUGUCACAUUA